rnacentral:rRNA from 1 species
GACGAACGCUGGCGGCGUGCCUAAUACAUGCAAGUCGAACGCACAGUUUAUACCGUAGCUUGCUACACCAUAGACUGUGAGUUGCGAACGGGUGAGUAACGCGUAGGUAACCUGCCUGGUAGCGGGGGAUAACUAUUGGAAACGAUAGCUAAUACCGCAUAAUAUUAAUUAUUGCAUGAUAAUUAAUUGAAAGGUGCAAUUGCACCACUACCAGAUGGACCUGCGUUGUAUUAGCUAGUAGGUGAGGUAACGGCUCACCUAGGCGACGAUACAUAGCCGACCUGAGAGGGUGAUCGGCCACACUGGGACUGAGACACGGCCCAGACUCCUACGGGAGGCAGCAGUAGGGAAUCUUCGGCAAUGGACGAAAGUCUGACCGAGCAACGCCGCGUGAGGGAAGAAGGGUGUCGGAUCGUAAAGCUCUGUUGUAAGAGAAGAACGGGUGUGAGAGUGGAAAGUUCACACUGUGACGGUAGCUGACCAGAAAGGGACGGCUAACUACGUG